UUGUACUAUGCAUCCAAAACAUUUCAGCCAUCCCUCAUAUAAUAUACAGCCUCUACCGUAACUCUCUGUGGGGGAGGAGGAUCAGACAUAACUCCUAGUGGGGGAGGGGAUCAGAGAUAACUCCUUCUGGGGGAGGGGCAGACAUAACUCCUAGUGGGGGAGGAGGAUCAGAGAUAACUCCUUGUGGGGAAGGGGAUCAGACAUAACUCCUAGUGGGGGAGGAGGAUCAGACAUAACUCCUUGUGGGGGAGGAGGAUCAGAGAUAACUCCUAGUGGGGGAGGAGGAUCAGACAUAACUCCUUGUGGGGGAGCAGGAUCAGACAUAACUCCUUGUGGGGGAGCAGGAUCAGAU